rnacentral:rRNA from 1 species
UACAGAGGUCUCAAGCGUUUGUUCGGAUUCAUUGGGCGUAAAGGGCUCGUAGGCGGCCAACUAAGUCAGACGUGAAAUCCCUCAGCUUAACUGGGGAACUGCGUCUGAUACUGGAUGGCUUGGAUUCGGGAGAGGAAUGCGGAAUUCCAGGUGUAGCGGUGAAAUGCGUAGAUAUCUGGAGGAACACCGGUGGCGAAGGCGGCAUUCUGGACCGAUAUUGACGCUGAGGAGCGAAAGCCAGGGGAGCAAACGGG